CCCCUGUCCAUUUCUGCAGAGCUGUGAGGGUCUAUAAAGCCUGCAGUAUUUGUGCUUAAACCAGCACUUGUCUUUUGUAGUGAAAGACUGAGCAGCUUCAUUCCACUUGUCAGAUUCUGCACACGUUUCGUUCUCAUCCCUGAUUCCCACAAACAGGUCUGUGAAGUUCUUAUCCGGUUGGUGAAGAAGGAACAGCGGAGAUGAAUCCCGCAGCGCUCUCGAUUCUUCUUCUGUCUGCCGCGGCAUUGCUGGAGCUUCCACAGAUAAAAUGUGAGGACCCAAUCCCAAUGAACAUGGCUGAAGAUGCCCUUGAUGAUCAAUAUGUCAAUUGUAGUGAUGAAACUAUAAAACAAAUUAAAAACUAUCUCCAGUCAGAAUUAAAUAAAAAUAAAACAUUUCAAAAGGCAUGGGAAAUCGCACUCAUAAACGUAACAAAACUAAUUCAGGAAAAAAAGAUUACGGAAUUGAAUUUGGAGCAAGCCACAGCAAUCUAUGUUUACACUAUGAAUGACGUUUACAGCGCGUUCAACACCGCAGUAAGAACAGGAGGAACGAAUUACACGAUGUUUCCAUACAAGGCGUUGCAUUUUUAUUUGACAGAUGCCCUGAAAAGACUGAGAUCCAAUAAGGAAGAAUGUUAUGACGUGUAUAGAGGAGUUAACCUAACUUUUACGACUGCUGCAGGUAAAAUUGUACGAUUUGGCCAGUUUGCUUCAACCUCUCUCAUAAAAAAUAAAGCAAAGCAAUUUGGAAAAAAAACACUCUUCACAAUAAGAACCUGCCUGGGUGUGCCGAUUGAAAAGUAUUCAGCAUUCCAUACUGAAAAAGAGGUUCUCAUUCCACCUUUUGAGAGAUUUAAAGUGAUGUUAGUCAAUGGAAAUAAAAUCCGACUGGAACAUAUUAAAAACCAGAAAAGUAACUUCAACUGUGGGAGGCGCAACUCUGUUUAAGAUCCAGCACACUCUGACUGUGUUAUUUGGUCGCUCAUAGUCAUGCAAACACGCUAGAUACUGCAGGAGCAUUGGGGGUGCAAUCCCAUCUGUAUUGGUCAUCGAUACAGCUCUGGCCAAGUUUUGCAUCACUUAGAAUUUUUGGAUUGAAACCAUAUUAAAAAAGUCAUAAUUUAGAUAUUAAGGAGGCUGUGUGGUCCAGUGGUUAAAGAAAGGGGCUUGUAAUCAGGAGGUCUCCGGUUCAAAUCCCACCUCAGCCACUGACUCAUUGUGUGACCCUGAGCAAGUCACUUAACCUCCUUGUGCUCCGACUUUCGGGUGAGACGUAGUUGUAAGUGACUCUGCAGCUGAUGCAUAGUUCACACACCCGAGUCUCUGUAAGUCGCCUUGGAUAAAGGCAUCUGCUAAAUAAACAAAUAAUAAUAAUUUUAUUUAUCAUGUAAUCAAAGAAACUAUAAAAUGAUAUCUCAACAAAAAGUCUAUACCGGAAUCCAUAAUAGUAGCACAGUGGUAUUUUAUGUUAGAUUUAAAAAAUGUCACAUUUAAUAAAAAUCUUUUUUUUUUUCAAUCCAGUAUGUUAACGUAACAUUAUUCAGCAGCUUUCAUUCAACUUUAUGAAGCAACAUUAGUUAAUUCUGCAGGGUGAUACAAAACUUCUGGCUAUAGCUGUAUUAUCGAAAUAAAUUCAAUUUCUUCUAUCUUCAUAGAGCAUAAGUGUCGCUAUUUUUUUCUUUUUUAAAUAAGUAUUUUUUUUUAACAAUGAACAAAUUAAAGAUUUGAUCGUCUUUUUUAUUCUUAGUUUUUAAUUACGCUGUAGUGGGAGAAGAAUUCAGAAUGUUUCUUUUUAAAGCGAUUAAUAAAGCAAUUGCAAGCUUGCAUUAAUUAAUAGCUUGAACUGGGUUAUAGCUGCAUAAAUAACAAGUCCAUAUCUCUGAAAUAUUGUAAGGCUUCGCUUCAAUAAAGCACAUUUCAAAAACACUGGA